GGAAAUGUAGCUCAAAUAGAGCUCCACUUUUGGCAAGUGGCAUGGGUUCAAAUCCUAACAUUCCCU
rnacentral:tRNA from 1 species